UCCCUGGUAGCUCAGAUGGUAAAGCGUCUGCCUACAAUGUGGGAGACCCAGGUUUGAUCCCUGGGUUGGGAA
rnacentral:tRNA from 1 species